GANUUUAACGGCCGNCGGUACUCUGACCGUGCGAAGGUAGCACAAUCACUUGUUCUUUAAAUGAGGACUAGAAUCAAUGGCAUCACGAGGGUCCCACUGUCUCCUUUUUCUAAUCAGUGAAAUUGAUCUCCCCGUGAAGAAGCGGGGAUAACUUUAUAAGACGAGAAGACCCCAUGGAGCUUCAANACUCAACGGAUAANCUCUANCAACCUANNNUGAGAUAUUUUAAGAGGUCNNNUANNUCCAUUAGUUUUGGGUUGGGGUGACCACGGAGAACAACCUAACCUCCGUAAUGAAAAGANAUAANAAUCAUAAUCUAAGAGCCACACCUCUAAGAAUUAACAAAUUAACAUACAAUGAUCCNAAUUUUUNNNAUUGAUCAAUGAACCAAGUUACCCUGGGGAUAACAGCGCUAUCCACUCCUAGAGUCCCUAUCGCCGAGUGGGUUUACGACCUCGAUGUUGGAUCAGGGUGUCCGAGUGGUGCAGCC
rnacentral:rRNA from 1 species